UCUCACGUGAUUAUCAGUAUCGUUAUGGCGGAAACUGCGGAAAAGGAGCCCAUGACUGAUGAAGAAACAACAGAUGAGUCUGAGGAAGAUGUCAGUGAAGAAGAGCCCAAACUGAAGUAUGAAAGGCUUUCUAAUGGGGUUGGAGAAAUUAUUCAUAAGGAUAUAGCCAGUUGCAUGACAGUCCAUGAGAAAGUAAGUUGUUAAUUUUGAAAAAUAUGCAUGACUGUGUUUUUGCUUUAUUACUUCCUUGUACUUCGAUUUGUUAUUG